ACUCCUACGGGAGGCAGCAGCUAAGAAUAUUCCGCAAUGGACGAAAGUCUGACGGAGCGACGCCGCGUGGAUGAAGAAGGCCGAAAGGUUGUAAAGUUCUUUUGCUAGGGGAGAAUAAGUGAGGGAGGGAAUGCCCUCAUGAUGACAAGGACUAGCGAAUAAGCCCCGGCCAACUACGUGCCAGCAGCCGCGGUAACACGCAGGGGGCGAGCGUUGUUCGGAAUUACUGGGCGUAAAGGGCAUGUAGGCGGCUUGGUAAGCCUGGCGUGAAAGACUGCAGCUUAACUGUAGGGAUGCGUUGGGAACUGCUUAGCUUGAGUUACGGAGAGGGAGCUGGAAUUCCUGGUGUAGGGGUGAAAUCUGUAGAUAUCAGGAAGAACACCGAUGGCGAAGGCAAGCUUCUGGUCGAUAACUGACGCUGAGGUGCGAAAGUGUGGGGAUCAAACAGGAUUAGAUACCCUGGUAGUC
rnacentral:rRNA from 1 species